rnacentral:lncRNA from 1 species
UGCAGACAUGUGAAAACUAUGAUGCCACCUAUUGCAAAACAAACAUGAGACAUUAUGGUUGAUGUUUGAAUUUAUGAUAUCUGAGAAAGAAAAAAAAAACCCCAAAAAAGAGAAGAAAAAUUACAAACACAUUUUGGUUUCACUGUGUGAAUGUUUGCUAAUUUCAUCAUAAAUUUAAUUUGUCCUUAUGAUACUAUAUUGAGCUUUCUGGAAUUAAACAUCCAAGUAUUUUGAUUGUUUGUCAAAUCAAUAAUCCUUUUACUGAAUUCACCUUAUUUUCCCUCCAUCCCAGAUGACCUGGACUGGGUGUUUGAGUCCGAACUGCUAGGUGGCCCUUUGAAGCCAUUACCUUCUUUCAAGCCAAUGCAGCCCCUUGAGGACAUGUUAGCCAACACCAAGUCGACGACCGUGAAGAGAGGACACACAUCAGAUGAGCACUUGAGUCAGGAAGCUACUGUAAUACUGCAGACUCUUCCUGAUUUGUCUUUCAUGCACGCUAAAGUUUUGAUGUUUCCAGUACGUCAGACUAACUAAAAGCAAAAACAAAAAAGACCCAGACAACAAAAGAAAAAUAACAAAACAAGAAGACAACAAAAGCAGCACAGAAAAUGGAGGUAGGGUCUUGUAUAAUGACACACCUUCUUCUCGACAAACCACUGGUAGUUUCUGUGGUUUAAGGCAACUGAGAUAUAUCAAUGUUGAUUUGGUGUUUAUUUCUCUUGUACAACCAGGCUGAAAGUACUUUUCUGUUAAAAGUUUGUUUCAUUGAAAAUUUAACCAGUUCGUAGGGGAGGGGAAGAACCUUUGAAAAGAGUGUGAGGGAUUAACCUCAAAGGUUGAAGGCUUCCUUAUUGAACUUCUUUCUGUUGCUGAUAUGUUGAGCAAUGAAACUUUGAUAAAUCUUGUAGAUAAGGAGAAAAAAAAUACCAAAAUCCUUGAAAGAAACUGAAUAAAAAAAACUAAAAUGGUAUUGGGAAGUUAA